UCUGGGGGGAAAUUGGGAUUUUGGGGGUGGGAAUCUGAAAAUUCCAAAAUUUUGGGGUUUAGACCAAAAAAAUCCAAAAUUUUCGAAAUUCAUUUGCAAUUUUUUGGAGAUUUAUUUCUAAUUUUUUUGGGAUUUAUUCCCAAAAAAAUCUCAAUUUUUAUGGAUUUAAUCCCCAAAAUUCCUGGGAUUUAAAUCCCAAAAAAUUCCAAGGAUUUAUUCCCAAAAAAUCCCAAAUUUUGGAGAUUUAAUCCCAAAUCCCAAAAUUUUCAAGGAUUUAUUCCCAAAAAAUCCCAAUUUCCAUGGAUUUAAUCCCAAAAAAAUCCAAAUUUUCAAGGAUUUAACCCCAAAUUCUGAGGAUUUAUUCCAGAAAUUCCCAAAUUUUCACAGAUUUAUUCCCAAAAAAUCCAAAUUUUCAAGGAUUUAACCCCAAAUUCCGGGGAUUUAUUCCAGAAAUUCCCAAAUUUUCACAGAUUUAUUCCCGAAAAAUCCAAAAUUUCCGAGAUUUAUCACCAAAAUUCCCAAAAAUUCCAUGAAUUUAUUUCCCAAAAAUUCAGGGAUUUCUUCCCAAAUUUCUGGAAUUUUUGGGGGGGAAUUUUUGGGAUUUUGUGGAAUUUCUUGGGAAUUUUGAAGGAAUUUUCCAGGAUUUCCUUGGAAUUUUUCCAAACGUCCUGGAAUUUUAUGGGAACUUUUUGGAGACUUUUUGGAUUUCCAUGGAAUUUCUACAAAUUUUCAGGAAUUUUUUGGGACUCCUAGACUUCUGUCAUUCCCUUGGAACUCCUUUGGAAUUUUUCAGGUUUUCCUUGGAAUUUCUUGGAAUUUUUAAGGGAUUUAUUUUGAAUUUUUUGGGAAUUUCCUUGAAUUUUUUUGGUGACUUUUUGGAACUUUUUGGGAUUUCUUGGGAUUUUUCCCAAUGUCCUGGAAUUUUACAGGAAUUUUCUGGAGACUUUUUGGAUUUCCGUGGAAUUUCUACAAAUUUUCGGGAAUUCCGUCAUUCCCUCGGAACUCCUUUGGAAUUUUUCGCGUUCUCCUUAAAAUUUUCAAGAAUUUCUUCGCAACUUUUUGGGGUUUUCAUCGGAAUUCCCUCAAAAUUUUUUUUUUUUGGGGAGGAUUUCUCACAACUUCUUCCCUAUUCCCCCCGAAUUUUUUUAGGAUUUUUUCCCUUCAGAAUUCCCAAUUUUUUCCUAAAUUUUUCCCAAUUUUUUCCCAAAUUUUUCCCAAUUUUUUCCCUUUCAGAAUUCCCAAAUUUUUCCCGAUUUUUCCCUCACAAGCUGACGCUCCGGUGGUGCCGGAAGAUUUUGCGGCCGCUCUCGGGCAGCUCCUCGCUGUGCAGGCUCAGCGCGUCCGAAAUUCCCGAAAUUCCCGGAAUUUCGGCCAAAUGUUCCACGGAAUCGAAUUUCUGCAGGUCCGAGGCGAUCGUCUGCAGGCUCAGCAGCGACAGCGACGAUUCCGCGGCGAUUCCCGACAUUCCCGACGCCAUCCGCGGGAUUUCCUGCGGAAUUC
rnacentral:lncRNA from 1 species